UUGUGGGGUAACCCGUUGCUCCCCAAUACCGGCGAGGCAGACCCAGACAGUUUGAACCGCCGCCCGGGCCUGGAGGCGCACUUCGUGGGGAUCGCUACAUGCAGGAAACUGCAAACGGUGGGCGACCUAGUGCGGGUCUGGGACCUAGUGGUGCAUACUCGAGUGGCCUCCCUCCCCAGGUCGACCUGGCCCGAAUGGGUCAGGACACACCUCGACCCAUCAACCCCAGCACCCACGCGGGACAGGUCAGCGACCCUGGCAGCCCUUAAGACGCUACAUGGCGCUAUCAACCCGGCCUGGCUCGAAGCUGCAAGAGCAGUGGAAAACCAACAGCAACAGCAACCCCAGCCGCAGGCACAGCUGCAGCCACAGCUGCAGCCACAGCCGCAGCCGCAGCCACAGCCGCAGCCACAGCCGCAGCCGCAGCCACAGCCGCAGCCACAGCCGCAGCCACAGCCGCAGCCACAGCCG
rnacentral:lncRNA from 1 species